AUGUCCACCGAGCCGCGGCCGCCGCCGCCGCCGCCGUCGGGGGCUGCGCCAGCAGCGAAACCUCCGUCCAUCCCCUCCACCACCCUCGCCACCACUGCCCUCGCUACCGCCGCCGACGGAACCACCACCACCAUAUCCUCCCUCGGCCAGGACCAACUUCUCGACAUCUUCCUCCGCCUGCCCAACCUGCCGGCCCUCGUCCGCGCCGCGCUCACCUGCCGCCCAUGGCUCGGCGCCGUCCGCUCCUCCCCGUCCUUCCGCCGCCUCUUCCGCGCCAUCCACCCGGCGCCCCUCCUCGGGAUCUUCCUUAAAGUGGACGACGACACCGCCCCCUCCUUCGCCCCCCUGCGCCGCUCGGAUCCCGUCGUCACCGCCGCCCUCCGCCGCGGCGACUUCUUCCUCACCUCCCUCCCGCUGGACGACGCCUGGACUGUCACGGACUGCCGCGACGGUUACAUCCUCCUGUGGAAUACUCUCUGGGCCGUGGCUGUGGUGAACCCCAUGACCUGGGCUGUGGACGUCAUCUCCUUCCCCGAUGAUGUCGCGGAUGGGAGUCUCCGCGAUUUCGGCUUCCUUGGUUUCCACCUGCUGACUUCCGAGGAGAACCCUCGGUCGUUCCGCGUGGUCUGCCUCUGCGCCGACGUCUCUAGGGUUCGUGCCGCCGUCUUCUCGUCGGAGACCUCGGUUUGGGCCGUCCACCCGUGUGGGUGGAGAUCAGCGGUGAAAGCAGCCUCAAGACGCAUUAUCAGGAUCAACACAGCCACCAUGGAUGUCUCCUCUCUGGAUCUACCCUCACACACAAUUAUUGAUUACUGGCAAGACGAUUUCAUGGUUGGGGAUACCAACGAUGGACAACUCUGCAUUGUCCAUGCAUCCGAUGAUUUUCGCCUCCAUGUUUGGAUCCGUAGCGUGGGCGGUGAUGGAAUUGGGAUUUGGGUGCAGCAGAACAUAGUCUCUUUCAGUGCAGAAAUUGAGCGGGUCACUCGGGGCUUGGAGGGCCAAGUCAGAGUUGUGCAAGUGAGGUCUGGAUGUGUCUACUUGUCCAUGACACGCAUAACUAAUGCUGGCACACAACGCACCUGGUUCUUCUACCUUUCAUUGGAGACCAUGGAGAUCGAGUUACUAAUCCACGGCACAUUUUAUGACUGUGCCUUUCCGUAUCGUAUGGCCUGGCCUCCUUGUUUGAUUGGUGAUGAUGGGAGCAGUACUGGAUAUGAAGUUGAAGCUUCUCCCUGA
rnacentral:rRNA from 1 species